rnacentral:rRNA from 1 species
AUGCACGCUGGCGGCGUGCCUAAUCCAUGCAAGUCGCGCGAACAGACGAGGAGCUUGCUCCUCUGACGUUAGCGGCGGACGGGUGAGUAACACGUGGAUAACCUACCUAUAAGACUGGGAUAACUUCGGGAAACCGGAGCUAAUACCGGAUAAUAUAUUGAACCGCAUGGUUCAAUAGUGAAAGACGGUUUUGCUGUCACUUAUAGAUGGAUCCGCGCCGCAUUAGCUAGUUGGUAAGGUAACGGCUUACCAAGGCAACGAUGCGUAGCCGACCUGAGAGGGUGAUCGGCCACACUGGAACUGAGACACGGUCCAGACUCCUACGGGAGGCAGCAGUAGGGAAUCUUCCGCAAUGGGCGAAAGCCUGACGGAGCAACGCCGCGUGAGUGAUGAAGGUCUUCGGAUCGUAAAACUCUGUUAUUAGGGAAGAACAAAUGUGUAAGUAGCUAUGCACGUCUUGACGGUACCUAAUCAGAAAGCCACGGCUAACUACGUG